AGGAAGAAGCUGAAAGUAAACCUACACCUCAAUCUGGAAGUGAUGCGUGGACUCUUCUGGAGUUCAUUCUGAUUGGUCUGCUGGUUCCGACGUUACUGUACAGCUGUAUCAUCACCUUUUUCUACUUCAAGAGGAGCUUGGAGAGCAACACAAGCAAUCUCCACGUAUGUGUAAAUGAGGAGAUCCCCUGUGCCAAGAAAUCCAGAGUUUGACUUGUACAGUCGUUCUGCUCUUCACCCCAUCUCUCUUUUUCUAAGAGCUGAAAACAAAUGUGCUGCUGAAGAUAACCAGCAGAGGGAGACAAAGACCAUCUGCUUCUGAACACCUGCUUUCAUGUUUGCAUGCAAAGUCAUAUUAUCCAUUUUGUAUGAACAGGUACAGAUUAUUUUUAUUCCCAAAUUAAAUAGAAGCUAUACCACUGUUAGACUUGAUGAUGUCUUGUACAGUGUGUGUGCAUGUUCCAGCCAAACAGAAAUAAAAACACACCAGUGAUUUUGA